UACGGGGGGAGCAAGCGUUGUUCGGAUUUACUGGGCGUAAAGGGCGCGUAGGCGGUCAGCACAAGUCAGUUGUGAAAUCUCCGGGCUUAACUCGGAAAGGUCAACUGAUACUGUGCGACUAGAGUGCAGAAGGGGCAACCGGGAACAAACGGUGGAGCGGUGGAAAUGCGUAGAUAUCGUUUGGAACGCCAAUGGUGAAAACAGGUAGCUGGGGCUGUGCUGACACUGAGACACGAAAGCCAGGGAGCAAACGGG
rnacentral:rRNA from 1 species